GUAGGGAAUAUUGGGCAAUGGGUGCAAGCCUGACCCAGCCAUCCCGCGUGCCGGAUGAAGGCCCUCUGGGUCGUAAACGGCUUUUGAUGGUGAAGAACCGAAAGGGUGCGCCCUUUUUUGACGGUAGCCGUUGAAUAAGCACCGGCUAACUCCGUGCCAGCAGCCGCGGUAAUACGGAGGGUGCGAGCGUUGUCCGGAUUUAUUGGGUUUAAAGGGUGCGUAGGCUGGAAGGACAGUCAGCGGUGAAAAGCAGUUGCUCAACAAUUGUCUUGCCGCAGAUACUUCCUUUCUUGGAUUGGGUGAAGGUUACCGGAACGGAUGGUGUAGCGGUGAAAUGCAUAGAUAUCAUCCAGAACGCCAAUUGCGAAGGCAGGUGACUGUACCUAUAUCGACGCUGAUGCACGAAAGCAUGGGUAGCGAACAGGAUUAGAAACCCCAGUAGUCC
rnacentral:rRNA from 1 species